rnacentral:lncRNA from 1 species
GUGAGAUUCUGCAGCUCAGUGAGAACCCCUGAGUCCCCUCCCAUCUCAAAGUGACCAGGUAGAAACUUGGAGGGCAAGGGAAGAAGUCCUGAGGGGGGCAUCAGGAGGGGAGGGUUGUUUCAUUGCUGCUCUGAUUCAUUGUGUGAAUUUACACCAACCUCUUCCAUCUCUGAGCUUCAGUUUCUUAUCUACAACCGAAAGAGUGGGGGAAAGACCCCGAAGACCUUCUGUGAGAUAACUGUAGGAAGAGUCCCCUUUCCAAAGAGGGUAGCUCUUCCAGGGCCUCUGGAAAACUCCUAAGAUAGAGGAACGCCCUCCCAAUAGUAGAAAUUAGAUAGUGCGGGUAGGGAAUUUGUUUGGAUAGAUGGGUGGUCUUUCCAUGUCAGGGACCCUGGGACACUGGUCCCUAACUUGUUUUUUUGACUGGGACUUGAGGUGGAGAAUGUCAGGAUUGAAGGGGUGGGGGGAAUCUCUUGCUGCCUGGUACUCCAGAGGUCCUCUUAUUAGGGAGAGGGUCAUGAGUGCAGGACAAGGACACCUCUUUGCCCCCAAGAUCAGAAAGGAGUGGGUUGGCCAGGAGGGUGUAUGCUGGCAGAAGCAGGCAUAUUGAUGCUCACAGGGUUAUGAAGCAAGGGUCAUCCAAGCCCUUUCAUUAGCUGUGGCUGCCUGCUAUGUCUCCAAAGCCCUGAGCACUUUAAAGCCAUUAGCUCAAUCACUGCUUACACAUUUAUCAGGCCAAAAUGGGUGUGGGGGGCUGGCCUAGAGCUGCCCCCACCCCCACCCACACACACUGCUCUUAAAGAGAGAUUGUUCCAGAUUGUUUCCUGGUUGCAAAGGCCCUACCACACUACCUACCACAGGAAGCUUCUAGAAUCUCAGGGAUCCUGGGAUAUUACUCUGAAGUCAGUCUGGAGGGAGAGACAGUUGAGAAAAGGCCAACUUUGGAAAUCAGAGCAGCCUGGGUUCAAAUUCUGACUGCUGUGGAGCCUUGCAGGAGCCGGAGUAGCCUGUCCAAGUUGCAGUCUCCACCUGUGCAAAAGGCACACAAUAGAGUAGGACCUUAUGGAGCUGCAGUGAGAAUUAGGCCCCCCAAAUGCAAGUAAAGACCAGCACAGCAGGGUGUCUGGUACCUAGCAGAUGCCCAUUAUUGCUCAUUAGGGAGAUUAAAAAGGCAAAGAACUGGUUUGGGGUUCCCAGCUAGACUAGACCUCCCGUGAGCCAGAG